rnacentral:rRNA from 1 species
ACUGACCGAUAGUGAACCAGUACCGUGAGGGAAAGGCGAAAAGAACCCCGGCGAGGGGAGUGAAAAAGAACCUGAAACCGUGUACGUACAAGCAGUGGGAGCACAGGUUUACCUGUGUGACUGCGUACCUUUUGUAUAAUGGGUCAGCGACUUAUAUUCUGUAGCAAGGUUAACCGUAUAGGGGAGCCGAAGGGAAACCGAGUCUUAACCGGGCGUUAAGUUGCAGGGUAUAGACCCGAAACCCGGUGAUCUAGCCAUGGGCAGGUUGAAGGUUGGGUAACACUAACUGGAGGACCGAACCGACUAAUGUUGAAAAAUUAGCGGAUGACCUGUGGCUGGGGGUGAAAGGCCAAUCAAACCGGGAGAUAGCUGGUUCUCCCCGAAAGCUAUUUAGGUAGCGCCUCGUGAAUUCAUCUCCGGGGGUAGAGCACUGUUUCGGCUAGGGGGCCAUCCCGGCUUACCAACCCGAUGCAAACUGCGAAUACCGGAGAAUGUUAUCACGGGAGACACACGGCGGGUGCUAACGUCCGUCGUGAAGAGGGAAACAACCCAGACCGCCAGCUAAGGUCCCAAAGUCAUGGUUAAGUGGGAAACGAUGUGGGAAGGCCCAGACAGCCAGGAUGUUGGCUUAGAAGCAGCCAUCAUUUAAAGAAAGCGUAAUAGCUCACUGGUCGAGUCGGCCUGCGCGGAAGAUGUAACGGGGCUAAACCAUGCACCGAAGCUGCGGCAGCGAACGUAUCACUUAAAGCGAUUCAGCGGGUUACGAUUGACGGAGCGAAGCGACGUCAAAGCGUAUACAAAGUCGAGUCGGUUUAAGGAUACGUUCGUUGGGUAGGGGAGCGUUCUGUAAGCCUGUGAAGGUGUGUCGUGAGGCAUGCUGGAGGUAUCAGAAGUGCGAAUGCUGACAUAAGUAACGAUAAAGCGGGUGAAAAGCCCGCUCGCCGGAAGACCAAGGGUUCCUGUCCAACGUUAAUCGGGGCAGGGUGAGUCGACCCCUAAGGC